rnacentral:rRNA from 1 species
AGUGAACGCUGGCGGUAGGCCUAACACAUGCAAGUCGAACGGCAGCACAGUAAGAGCUUGCUCUUACGGGUGGCGAGUGGCGGACGGGUGAGGAAUACAUCGGAAUCUACUUUUUCGUGGGGGAUAACGUAGGGAAACUUACGCUAAUACCGCAUACGACCUACGGGUGAAAGCAGGGGAUCUUCGGACCUUGCGCGAUUGAAUGAGCCGAUGUCGGAUUAGCUAGUUGGCGGGGUAAAGGCCCACCAAGGCGACGAUCCGUAGCUGGUCUGAGAGGAUGAUCAGCCACACUGGAACUGAGACACGGUCCAGACUCCUACGGGAGGCAGCAGUGGGGAAUAUUGGACAAUGGGCGCAAGCCUGAUCCAGCCAUACCGCGUGGGUGAAGAAGGCCUUCGGGUUGUAAAGCCCUUUUGUUGGGCAAGAAAAGCAGCAGGUUAAUACCCCGCUGUUCUGACGGUACCCAAAGAAUAAGCACCGGCUAACUUCGU